UACGGGGGGGCAAGCGUUGUUCGGAAUUACUGGGCGUAAAGGGCUCGUAGGCGGCCAACUAAGUCCGACGUGAAAUCCCCAGGCUUAACCUGGGAACUGCGUCGGAUACUGGAUGGCUUGAAUCCGGGAGAGGGAUGCGGAAUUCCAGGUGUAGCGGUGAAAUGCGUAGAUAUCUGGAGGAACACCGGUGGCGAAGGUGGCAUCCUGGACCGGCAUUGACGCUGAUGAGCGAAAGCCAGGGGAGCAAACGGG
rnacentral:rRNA from 1 species